rnacentral:rRNA from 1 species
UACAGAGGGUGCAAGCGUUUGUUCGGAAUUAUUGGGCGUAAAGCGCGUGUAGGCGGCUUUGCAAGUCGGGUGUGAAAGCCCUCAGCUUAACUGAGGAAGUGCGCCCGAAACUGCAGAGCUUGAGUACCGGAGAGGGUGGCGGAAUUCCCCAAGUAGAGGUGAAAUUCGUAGAUAUGGGGAGGAACACCGGUGGCGAAGGCGGCCACCUGGACGGAUACUGACGCUGAGACGCGAAAGCGUGGGUAGCAAACAGG